rnacentral:lncRNA from 1 species
GAGCUUAAAAGUGCAUUCCGAAAGAGAACUCCGAAAGUGGAUCGUAAGCGCAAGUUGUACGCCAAGCUUACGAAAGAGAGUCGCUGCAGUCUUAACACAUGCAAGCGAGAGCGUGCGCUUAUCUUUAAAAAGAGAGUAAGGUAUCGAGAGCAUAAAAUUUGCCCUUGACGUUUGACCGAAAUUCCACUCAAUGCAGCGAAAGAUCAUACGAUUGUCCCGUUAAAGCUCUUAAACGUCAUCAGAUCUUCGAGCUUUCUGUUCGGUACAGCCUAGCUUCACUGGGAUAAGUUUUUCUAGAGUUAUUAGCAAAGAGUCGAUCGACAAAACCAGACGUGAUUGUGGCAAGUCUUAUAUACGUAGAUAUAACCUACACAAAACUUACAUAAUCCCUCGUGGCGAAGUUUUCUUGCAAGCCAUAAAUUCAGAGGAAUCUGUGUUGAUCUGUGCUAGUGCCUAGUGAAAACAAUAAUCAACCAAGGUAUGUCUGCCGUGAGCUAGGAAAGUGACCAGUAUAAUUUAUGCGAAUGAAGUUUAUAGGACAGAGGUCAGGAGCCCUAUCUUUCUUAGCAGCCUAAGUGCGCAUAAGUGCAUAUACGGGGUGCUCCACGAGAGGCGUAUCACCGAAGUGAUCCCCCAAUCUACAAGGGGUAGAAUUCGAUUCCCCCCUCUUCUGCUCCGAAACGCCGAGCCCCGAAAACCUCUGACUUGGGUCAACUUUAGUGAGGCGUAGCAACCCUUAGGAAGCCCAGCGCGUAAGGCGGCGCCGCAGGACAGAGGACAGCAGGACAGAUGUUCGAAAUUAUGCUGUGUUAAUUUGCACAUUUUCUGGGAUUAAGUUCAAUAUGCCAUUCAAUAGGCCAAUUCUCUGGCAGUUACGUAUAUGUAUAUUCAAGCAUCGAAAAUCAUGAUAGUUUGUAGAAAAGAGUGGGUGGGUUUAGCCACUGCAAAUAAAUUUAUUCAUUGUGGCUAUAAUAAUGAUCCAAUCGGAUCCCAAUUUGGUGAUCUGAUAGAUAUGGUCAUUCCCCACGGAACGGUUUUUAGUUUUCUUUAAUUUCUUCAAAAUUGUAGGUUUGGGAGGUUUUCGGCCUUUUUCGGGGGCGGGGCUCAUUUUUGAAAUACAAUUGUAACAGUGUGAGCAUACAGAAGUCUGGAUGCAAAAUUUGGUGGCUCUAGCUUUUAUGGCCUCUGAGAUCCAGGCGCUCAACAAGACGGACGGAAGGACGGACAGGCGGACGGACAGACAGACAUGACUCAAUCGACUCGGCUAUUGAUGCUGAUCAAGAAUAUAUAUACAUUAUGGGGUGGGAAACGUUUCCUUCUAUGCGUUACAUACAUUCACUUUGUGCACAAUUACAAUAUACCCCUAUUAGCUCUUCGAAUACCGGGUAAAAAAAUAUAUUAGUUUAUAUUAAUUGUUUUAUAUUUUUGCAAUUCUUUAUAAUUUGUAUACCCGGUACUCGAAAACUAAAUAGGGCGUUUAGUUUUUAAGAAGGAUUGGAAUCCUUUUUUUUUUGUUGGAACUUAAAAUGGAUUUUAAAAGUGUUAUAUACACCACGUGUUACACCAACGCGACUUGUAGCAGCCAAUCUUCCUCAGGGCCGAAACACUGCACGAGGAAUGUGGUCGAGCGAGAGAGAAUGAGCAAGCGUGGGAAGGUUGCUCGGCCACUAGUAGUGUAGAGAACAUCUGGCCCCGAAUAUUGUGUUAUUGCAAUUGUCAGAAUGACGAAAUUCAUUUGCAGUGUUUACCCCCACCCUCUCCAGAAACCUUCCAACGCCAGCUGAUUCUCUCUAGAUCUACCACAUGCCUAGUGCCGUGUUCGGCCACUAACCAUACAGUAGUGGCUCUGAGGAAGAUUGGCUGCUAAAAGGUCGCAAAACAUGGGUGAGGUAAGUUUUUUGCUUCAAAUUAAGCAAUCUAAUUAAAUUGGCUAAACAUGAAAGGGAAACAAUCGGAGGCAUCUUAACUAGACGAAUACUUCUGGAUCCGUUGCCAGGUCAGUCAAGUUCAGAAAAUUUAUUUGAAGAUAGAUAACUUACUUCAGGAAUCGCUAGUGCCCUAUCCCACUAAGCAAACAACUCAUAGAGACUCCAAACAUCAAAAACACUGACUGCAUAAAAAUUAUAGGGGAUUGGGCCCCAGGGCCAUCGGCUCUUAGUGUCGAUGCCUUCGGCUGAUAGAGUUUGGCGUGUAGAUCUCUUGAGCUCUUGACUCUCACACAAGUGAGCUGCGCCGAAAAAACAAAGUUUUGUUUUUAUACCUGGUAAUCGAAAAGUAAAUGGGCUAUAUUAAUAACAACUCUGAAUGCCCUUUCAUGUUUAAGCUGGUACGUGUGAAAUUUGACAAAAUCUUUACAAAGAGUUUUAACANAGAAACCUUCCAACGCCAGCUGAUUCUCUCUAGAUCUACCACAUGCCUAGUGCCGUGUUCGGCCACUAACCAUACAGUAGUGGCUCUGAGGAAGAUUGGCUGCUAAAAGGUCGCAAAACAUGGGUGAGGUAAGUUUUUUGCUUCAAAUUAAGCAAUCUAAUUAAAUUGGCUAAACAUGAAAGGGAAACAAUCGGAGGCAUCUUAACUAGACGAAUACUUCUGGAUCCGUUGCCAGGUCAGUCAACUUACUUCAGGAAUCGCUAGUGCCCUAUCCCACUAAGCAAACAACUCAUAGAGACUCCAAACAUCAAAAACACUGACUGCAUAAAAAUUAUAGGGGAUUGGGCCCCAGGGCCAUCGGCUCUUAGUGUCGAUGCCUUCGGCUGAUAGAGUUUGGCGUGUAGAUCUCUUGAGCUCUUGACUCUCACACAAGUGAGCUGCGCAGAAAAAACAAAGUUUUGUUUUUAUACCUGGUAAUCGAAAAGUAAAUGGGCUAUAUUAAUAACAACUCUGAAUGCCCUUUCAUGUUUAAGCUGGUACGUGUGAAAUUUGACAAAAUCUUUACAAAGAGUUUUAACAAGUUUCCUGUGUAUCUUCAGUUAUCAUGUCCAGUGCUUCGUUUUCGUCUUCAUUUCCGUUAUUUGGCGUGCUGUCGCUGAGGAGGCCGUAUUGAUUGGAGCUGGUGCUGGGUGCUAAGUCCAAAGCGAUUUUUUUUCUUUAGUGGAAUCGGAGAGACUUGGUUUUGUCUCUUGAUUGCCUUUGGCUUCGGUUUUACUCUCUGCCAGCUGCAAACCGUUGUGUCGUCUUCGUCGUCGUUCAUGAUAACAACAAAACUUUGUUAUUGCUUAUCAGUAACCACUGUUUUGUUUUCUUUUGUUUUGUGAAUCGAAUAACUGUUAAUAGUACAUUUGCUUUAUAUUUCUUUACGAGUUGAAAGUUGUUGCUCGUGUGUAAAGUAAACAAACUUCUUACAAUCGGCAAUCGAAAGUCUAUAUCGCUCUCGUUGGCUCGAUGUUGACUGUUCGCACUAAAUCAUUUGUUUACUGAGCAAGAGCACUAAAAAUACAGGAACUUUAAGUAGACUUGUUGGAAGCUGCGGAGCAACUGACUCCACAUUUACGACAAGUAUUCUCCGUAUUUAGUUUCUAAUAUGUUUGGUUUAUUAUUUUACGAUUAUAUACAGUUUAAAGGGGCGUGGCCGUGAACUAUGAUUCGGUUUGUUAAAAUUUACAAUAUUUGAGAGCUCGAUUAUGAAUAUAACGAGUUCGCGUUGGACAUAUGUAUGUAGAAAUAAUUGGACUGCUCAGAUAGAUGCACGGCGAUCGACAAUAUUUUAGACUGACUCAUGAAAAUGGCAUAUAAGCAGUACGGAGGAUGUAUAGAUAGGCAGAGAGGGAGCGAUGAGCGGGACAAUAGCAUAUUAGUCUAAGAGAUAAACAAGGCUAGCUGAUCUUAAUAGUUAUGUUUUUGCUGCUGCUCCGAACACGACUUGAUAUGAUUUAAUAUAAAAUAUUCGAAUAAUUUACACACAGGUUGUAAUUAAUAAACUUAAAAAUAUACAAAUAAGAAAUAUAUUAAAAUGUUAUAUUAUAUUAAAAUAUUAAAAUAAUAAUUAAUCUAAUAAUAAAUUGAUACCCAGGGAACACCACGGGGAGACCAUCGCAAUGCAAUGAAGUCACUCUAGCCAAAAUAUAAUCUUCGGGACCUACGAGUCGACUUGAGCUGCUUUUAGAAGCAAUUUUAGACUACAUAUUCCCAAAAAAAAAAAAAAGGAUUCUAAUCCUUAAAAACUAUUCCUACAUAUAUACAUAAAACUACUAAACGCUCGAAAAUUAUAAACAAUAAAUUUAACAAAACAAAAUAAAACUGGUGAAAAUAAAUAAAAACUUGAUAAAAG